rnacentral:rRNA from 1 species
UACAGAGGUGGCAAGCGUUGUUCGGAUUUACUGGGCGUAAAGGGCGCGUAGGCGGCGUGGUAAGUCACUUGUGAAAUCUCUGAGCUUAACUCAGAACGGCCAAGUGAUACUGCUGUGCUAGAGUGCAGAAGGGGCAAUCGGAAUUCUUGGUGUAGCGGUGAAAUGCGUAGAUAUCAAGAGGAACACCUGAGGUGAAGACGGGUUGCUGGGCUGACACUGACGCUGAGGCGCGAAAGCCAGGGGAGCAAACGGG